CCCAGCUGGCUGAUGCCUUAAUUUGGGGUUUGUGAAACCAGGAGCAGAGACACCAACUGAAGCAGCCUAGCUUUCUGAACUACAGAACAGUCCAUCACUCCCUCAGAUCCCUCUAAGACAUAUGCAAAAAGGAACAAUGAUUUUUUAAAAGCCAGCCAGCCUUCCCGCUGAGCAUAUAAGUUCUGCCACUUAUGGCUGGAGGUUACUUCCUGUGUGCCAUCCUUACCCAACUGAAGGUGUCUGACUGAUGCUCUGUGUUGGCUCUUAUAUCCAGCUGGACUACUAAAUCAACUAGAGACCUCAAAUUGACUAUAUUCUGAAAGAAGAAGCAGACAACAUCUGAAUAGACUGCUUUCCUGAAAGUCAGGACCAGGUCAGUACAAUAACUCUUUAAUAUUUGCCAAAAGUAUAAUGAAAACUUUUAAAUUCAUUGAGAUCUUUGUUCUACUGUUUACCUGGGUAGGAAUUCUUAUGAAUUUUGCUGUUUGAUACUCAGUAGGACUUCUUCCCCUGUGGUAGCCAAAUCUCAAAGCUUUCUGUAUACCUAUUG